UUCAUUUCUGUUGGCCGGACUGUGAACUGAACUCAGUACUGCCGCUUUCGUCCUCUGAGGCUUCUCCUUCUUGGCCUCUCUCUCUCUCUCUCUCUCUCUCUCGCUCUUCACCAAUAUUACUUCAGCUUCUGAAGGCUUUUCCAUUUCAGAUCAAGCUAUGGGAGCCGACGAGGCCGACCGUGUCUUUCCAUUUCAGCUCCAAUUCGACAAGCAUAUUGCCUCUCAGGUUAAAAUUUCCGAGUGGAAACCGGAAAGGAUUUGCUAGCCAUGGUCACAGAAGACUUGGGAGUUUUGCUCCACCGUGGCGGAGGUUGCGGACUAUAUCACCGGGGAAGAUGUUGAAAGAGUAAGAGAUUUGGUUGGGAUUCAAAGAUUGUGAAUUUUUAUUAAGGACACUUGGUAUGGAGUUUCAGCAGAUGGACUCUAGGCAUUCCCUCUCUUCCAUUCAAUUGGUCUGUGAGUAGUCUUGCAUACUUGACCAUUCAUAAUAUGACAGGUUGGAACUACAAAAUAACUUUGAGUAGUGGAUAAUGAUCCGGAUUCUUUGUGAAAGAGUGAGUUAUUGAAUGAUUGAUGAGAAAAUUGAAUUAUGAAGAGCAAGAAUGCUCUAUUUAUAUAGAGGAGAAUACAAGAAGAUAUUUAGAAAAUCUACCUAAAAAACUGCAGAAAAUCUGGUAACAAACAAGUAAUCAAAACAAAAUCUAAU